GGAAAGAAAGGAAAAACAAACCCUAGGUGAAGAAUUUCAAGAGAAAAAGUGUGGAAAAUCAAGGAAAGCAAGUGAAAAAGGUAGGAUUUUUCAACUUAAGCCUGAAAUCUAUUUUCCUUAAGCAUUUGUCCUUAUUUUCCAUGGUUAAAUUACAUGUUUUCAUGAUGAAUUCAUGGCUGGUCAAAAUGGGUAUGGAGAGAGAAAGAUGUUGGAUUGAAUUGAUUUUAAGAUAUGUUAGUGUUUUUAGUUAGUUUAGCAUAUUUAGAAGCAAAACAACAAGAAAGGAAUCCAUUUUCCCCAUGAAUCUUCAUAGCCGAAUCUUCCUUGAUGUGUGUGGGGAUGGAUUGUUGUUAUUUCAAGAGAAAUGGCUUAGAAAAUGAUGAAUAAUGGUGAGAAAAAUUAAGUAGGAAAAAUCACGGUGUUAGUGCACCACAAUUACCGAAAUUUUCAAGAAGAAUUAUGAGGGUUGUUAGGCUGAAUUUUAGAUUAUUAGAAUUGUAUUUAGUGAAUUGAGGUAUUAGAAAUGAAAUGGAGCAAUUUGGAGCCAAAUUGGACACAAUUGUCAUUUAAUCGGGUAAUAUGCCGAAUUAGGUCAGCACCUCAUUUAAGCGGUAGUUGGAUAAGUUGCAUAUCAUAUCAUGCAUAUACACCGAGCCUGAAUUAAUUUAUAAUGGUCAAGUAUUAAUGUGGUGAAUUAUGUAUUGUACAUUGUGGAUAGGUGGUGAGCAAAUUACACUAGUAAAAGUAUAGAGAUUGUGCUUGAAGACUGGGAUUAGGAGUACAUCGACUCCUAGAACUGUGAGUAAACUUAUUAUCAUCUUAAUUACUAGAGUAGUUUUAUACAAUUGUGUGAUUUUAUAGAAAAUGGGUUUAAAUGGUAAAUUGCUAUGUUUUAGGAGAAAUUGUGAUUUUAUAAAAUGAUUUUAUAAAUUUUCUGAAAAAGUGAAUAUUGGUUUUGAAAAUAGAGUAAUUGGAGACUGCCUGCUUGUGUUAUAAAUUGUGUUUUUAAAUUAUAUGGCGUAUAGGAAUAUGUGAGCAUGAAUGGCAAAGUCGGUAUUUGUAUCAAAAUUUUAUAUACUAUGUAUUCAACCUUGAGAGGCUAGGUUGCGAUAAAUUGCCAUGUCAUGCAGAUAAGGAUUUUAUAAAUCAAGUGGUAGAUAAAAUAAUCCAUAGUCACUGCAGUGGUGGGGGUUUUCGUGGACUACCUAUGAGAGGGGCACGGUAAAACAAUUAUAUAUUUACCUUAGGGGAGAGAUGUUGGAUGAAGUAUCUCCUAAGGUAAAGAUUUGAGUGCACUUCACGUGAACCACCAUGUGAGAGUGAAACUCAGCCAACGCUAAGGAACGGCUGUGUCUCAGAUGUGAAAACAUGUUUAUGGGUAUGGGACAUUUAACAGCCUUGGCGGUCUCAGUGGGAUACCUUGACGAAGGUACCAGCAAGAACGAUUUUGGCAGGAGCCAAGUUUUUUGAGAUAUAUAAGCCAUUUUGAUUAAUUGAGUAAACUGAAUAUUCAUGUUAUGAAACAUAUAUUGGAAAUGAAUAUUUUAAUUUGUCUCCAUUUACUCGCCUUUAGAUAGUUUAGAUGGUGUUUGUUUCCUCACUGGGAUUUUAUAAUCUCACCACCCUCUUUUCCUCACAUUUCAGGCUCAAGGAAUUCCAUAGUUAGCUGACCUUGACAAGGACAUUCAUUUGGACUUGAAUCGGCAAAAGCUGUAGGUUUUCAGCUUCCGAUGCAUUUUUGGUUAGAUGUGGGCCCACGUGUCACUAUAAAAGAAAUUUUAUACUUCAGUUAUCUGAUUUAAAGCAUGUAUGAA
rnacentral:lncRNA from 1 species